ensembl:lncRNA
AGGGUGAACAAAUGGCUCAGCAGCUGAAAGGGCCAUGCUGGGAGUCAGCCGCAGGACCUUGGUGGUGGACCCAAGAAGCUGGGCUCCAUGAUCCUGGCAAGCUGGGAAAGCCUGGAUAUGUUCAAUAUAAGCGGGCUGUUCUCAUUUUUCCACCCACCUCUGAUUUGCUGGGACCCCAAAUGCAAGCUCACUCCUUCUAGGGCUUGAUGCAGCAACCCAGGCUGGAAUUCUCUCCAGUCUCCACAGCAGCCCUGAGAAAGGAGGCACUGCCAUCUCUGUCUUACAGAGGAGGAAACGGGGGCUCAAAGAGAUUGGACUACUUGUGUGGCAGUCACACAGUAAAUA